GAUGAGCAACACAAGAACCAACAAAUGAUUAUCAUCAUGUUAUGAUCAUUUAUAAGGGGAAGAAAGAAGCUAAUGUCUAAAAAAAUCUGUUAAACCAAGAACUAUCAAUACAAGCACUUCCUUUAGCGAUACGGAGAUUAUGUUCCUAAAGAAAAGUCGAGAAUUAAAAGGCACAGCACCCUGGCAUGACACUGGGGAGUGCUGAUUUCCAUCCUAAGCUUUUCUUUGUCUUUUAAUCUCGCACAUAUAUCAGUUUAAUGUAAAAAGAAAGAAAGAAAAAGAAAAAGGCAGAAGGAAGCAAGAGAGAGGGAACCCACCGAAGAUGAAGUUGUCGGGCCGGAAGAGGUGCCCGAAAGGCCCAGACCGCACACUGUCCAUGGUGCCAGGCUCCAAGUCCACCAGGGCAGCCCUGGGGACGUAUUUCUGAGCUGGAAGAGAACAAAGCCCACGCCCAAGGUCACUUUCUGGUCUCCAGGGUCAUGGGCUGCCCCACAGUGAGUCCCCCCAGCUGCCCAGAUGGUAGGAAGCAGGGUCUCUUUAGAGACAGAACCUUAGUGCUGGGAGGGGACCGGGGAACACUGUCCCAGCUGAUGCUGUCCCGAUGAGGAAACCAGCCCAAGCAUGAAUGGGCAGAGGAAGUACCAGGAAUAAGCAGGAUGAGAAAUCAGGUCUCCUGACUUCCUGCCUUCUGUAUUUUCCACUUCACCCUGACACCUCUUUCCUGUUGGGAAGCUUUACUUUUUGAGCUCCAUGGAAAUAAACUGUCUCUGUUGCAGCAAA